rnacentral:rRNA from 1 species
AAAAACAUGUCUUUUAGAAAAUAAUUUAAAGUCUAAUCUGCCCACUGAUAAUUAUAUUGAAGGGCUGCAGUAUAUUGACUGUACAAAGGUAGCAUAAUCAAUAGUCUUUUAAUUGAAGACUUGUAUGAAGGAUUUGAUGAAAUAUAAACUGUCUCUAAUUUAUUUAUAGAAAUUAAUUUUUUAGUUAAAAAGCUAAAAUUUUUUUAAAAGACGAGAAGACCCUAUAGAGUUUUAUAUUUAUUAUAUUUAAGAUUAUAUUUAUAAUUAAAAAUUAAAAAUAAAAUAAAUAUUUUAUUGGGGUGAUAGAAAAAUUAAAAUAACUUUUUUUAAAAAGUAACAAAAAUAAGUGAAAAAUUGAUCCAUAAUUUAUGAUUAAAAGAAAAAAUUACCUUAGGGAUAACAGCGUAAUAUUUUUUUUUAGUACAAAUAAAAAAAAAAGUUUGCGACCUCGAUGUUGGAUUAAGAUAAAAUUUAAAUGCAAAAGUUUAAAAUUUUGAUCUGUUCGAUCAUUAAAAUCUUACAUGAUCUGA